rnacentral:rRNA from 1 species
AGAUUGAACGCUGGCGGCAGGCCUAACACAUGCAAGUCGAACGGUAACAGGAAGAAGCUUGCUUCUUUGCUGACGAGUGGCGGACGGGUGAGUAAUGUCUGGGAAACUGCCUGAUGGAGGGGGAUAACUACUGGAAACGGUAGCUAAUACCGCAUAACGUCGCAAGACCAAAGAGGGGGACCUUCGGGCCUCUUGCCAUCGGAUGUGCCCAGAUGGGAUUAGCUUGUUGGUGGGGUAACGGCUCACCAAGGCGACGAUCCCUAGCUGGUCUGAGAGGAUGACCAGCCACACUGGAACUGAGACACGGUCCAGACUCCUACGGGAGGCAGCAGUGGGGAAUAUUGCACAAUGGGCGCAAGCCUGAUGCAGCCAUGCCGCGUGUAUGAAGAAGGCCUUCGGGUUGUAAAGUACUUUCAGCGGGGAGGAAGGGAGUAAAGUUAAUACCUUUGCUCAUUGACGUUACCCGCAGAAGAAGCACCGGCUAACUCCGUGCCAGCAGCCGCGGUAAUACGGAGGGUGCAAGCGUUAAUCGGAAUUACUGGGCGUAAAGCGCACGCAGGCGGUUUGUUAAGUCAGAUGUGAAAUCCCCGGGCUCAACCUGGGAACUGCAUCUGAUACUGGCAAGCUUGAGUCUCGUAGAGGGGGGUAGAAUUCCAGGUGUAGCGGUGAAAUGCGUAGAGAUCUGGAGGAAUACCGGUGGCGAAGGCGGCCCCCUGGACGAAGACUGACGCUCAGGUGCGAAAGCGUGGGGAGCAAACAGGAUUAGAUACCCUGGUAGUCCACGCCGUAAACGAUGUCGACUUGGAGGUUGUGCCCUUGAGGCGUGGCUUCCGGAGCUAACGCGUUAAGUCGACCGCCUGGGGAGUACGGCCGCAAGGUUAAAACUCAAAUGAAUUGACGGGGGCCCGCACAAGCGGUGGAGCAUGUGGUUUAAUUCGAUGCAACGCGAAGAACCUUACCUGGUCUUGACAUCCACGGAAGUUUUCAGAGAUGAGAAUGUGCCUUCGGGAACCGUGAGACAGGUGCUGCAUGGCUGUCGUCAGCUCGUGUUGUGAAAUGUUGGGUUAAGUCCCGCAACGAGCGCAACCCUUAUCCUUUGUUGCCAGCGGUCCGGCCGGGAACUCAAAGGAGACUGCCAGUGAUAAACUGGAGGAAGGUGGGGAUGACGUCAAGUCAUCAUGGCCCUUACGACCAGGGCUACACACGUGCUACAAUGGCGCAUACAAAGAGAAGCGACCUCGCGAGAGCAAGCGGACCUCAUAAAGUGCGUCGUAGUCCGGAUUGGAGUCUGCAACUCGACUCCAUGAAGUCGGAAUCGCUAGUAAUCGUGGAUCAGAAUGCCACGGUGAAUACGUUCCCGGGCCUUGUACACACCGCCCGUCACACCAUGGGAGUGGGUUGCAAAAGAAGUAGGUAGCUUAACCUUCGGGAGGGCGCUUACCACUUUGUGAUUCAUGACUGGGGUGAAGUCGUAACAAGGUAACCGUAGGGGAACCUGCGGUUGGAUCACCUCCUUACCUUAAAGAAGC